UAUGUACUCCCUCCGUUCGCAAUUACUUGUCUCGGAAAUGGAUGUAUCUAGAACUAAAAUACAUCUAGAUACAUUCAUUUUUGCGACAAGUAAUUCCGAACGGAGGGAGUAGUAC
rnacentral:pre_miRNA from 1 species